UGGGGAAUUUUGGACAAUGGGCGCAAGCCUGAUCCAGCCAUGCCGCGUGCGGGAAGAAGGCCUUCGGGUUGUAAAGCUCUGUGGGGAGAGACGAAUAAGCUUUGGCUAAUAUCCAGGGUGAUGACGGUAUCUCCUUAGCAAGCACCGGCUAACUACGUGCCAGCAGCCGCGGUAAUACGUAGGGUGCGAGCGCUAAUCGGAAUUACUGGGCGUAAAGCGUGCGCAGGCGGUUAUGCAAGACAGAUGUGAAAUCCCCGGGCUCAACCUGGGAACUGCAUUUGUGACUGCAUAGCUGGAGUGCGGCAGAGGGGGAUGGAAUUCCGCGUGUAGCAGUGAAAUGCGUAGAUAUGCGGAGGAACACCGAUGGCGAAGGCAAUCCCCUGGGCCUGCACUGACGCUCAUGCACGAAAGCGUGGGGAGCAAACA
rnacentral:rRNA from 1 species